rnacentral:rRNA from 1 species
CACCGCCCGUCACACUAUAGGAGCUGGCCAUAUUUGAAGUCAUUACCCUUAACCGUAAGGAGGGGGAUGCCUAAGGCUAGGCUUGCGACUGGAGUGAAGUCGUAACAAGGUAGCUGUACUGGAAGGUGCGGCUG